rnacentral:lncRNA from 1 species
AUUCUUUAAUAUUCAAAGUUUAAUUUAUUAUAAUUUUUUACUCGAAUUUUCAGAAUGAUUAUAAUCAAAUCUUAUAAUUCAAUUUAGUUAAUUAAAUAUUAAUAUAUUACUGAUGUAAAAGUAAUAUAACAGUAUUGUGAUUGAUGAUGCGCAUAUAAUUAAGAUGACAUAUUAUUUUUGCAUUAGUGAUGCAUCAAUAUUUGGUCAGCUAAAUUAAAUUUUGAGUCAUAAUUGUAACGGUUCUGAAAGUUUGAGUCAAAAAUUAUGGCAAAUUAAUAUUUGAGGACCACGGUAU